rnacentral:tRNA from 1 species
ACUCUAAUAGUUUAUCUAAAACAUCGGUCUUGUAAACCGAAAACUGAAGACUGCCAUCUUCUUAGAGUU